rnacentral:rRNA from 1 species
GACGAACGCUGGCGGCGUGCCUAAUACAUGCAAGUAGAACGCUGAAGGAGGAGCUUGCUUCUCUGGAUGAGUUGCGAACGGGUGAGUAACGCGUAGGUAACCUGCCUGGUAGCGGGGGAUAACUAUUGGAAACGAUAGCUAAUACCGCAUAAGAGUAGAUGUUGCAUGACAUUUGCUUAAAAGGUGCAAUUGCAUCACUACCAGAUGGACCUGCGUUGUAUUAGCUAGUUGGUGGGGUAACGGCUCACCAAGGCGACGAUACAUAGCCGACCUGAGAGGGUGAUCGGCCACACUGGGACUGAGACACGGCCCAGACUCCUACGGGAGGCAGCAGUAGGGAAUCUUCGGCAAUGGACGGAAGUCUGACCGAGCAACGCCGCGUGAGUGAAGAAGGUUUUCGGAUCGUAAAGCUCUGUUGUAAGAGAAGAACGAGUGUGAGAGUGGAAAGUUCACACUGUGACGGUAUCUUACCAGAAAGGGACGGCGAACUACG